rnacentral:tRNA from 2 species
GCUUCGCUAGCUCAGUUGGCAGAGCGUCAGUCUCAUAAUCUGAAGGUCGACAGUUCGAACCUGCCGCGGAGCA